AGCGAACAGACGAGGAGCUUGCUCCUCUGACGUUAGCGGCGGACGGGUGAGUAACACGUGGAUAACCUACCUAUAAGACUGGGAUAACUUCGGGAAACCGGAGCUAAUACCGGAUAAUAUAUUGAACCGCAUGGUUCAAUAGUGAAAGACGGUUUUGCUGUCACUUAUAGAUGGAUCCGCGCCGCAUUAGCUAGUUGGUAAGGUAACGGCUUACCAAGGCAACGAUGCGUAGCCGACCUGAGAGGGUGAUCGGCCACACUGGAACUGAGACACGGUCCAGACUCCUACGGGAGGCAGCAGUAGGGAAUCUUCCGCAAUGGGCGAAAGCUUGACGGAGCAACGCCGCGUGAGUGAUGAAGGUCUUCGGAUCGUAAAACUCUGUUAUUAGGGAAGAACAAAUGUGUAAGUAACUAUGCACGUCUUGACGGUACCUAAUCAGAAAGCCACGGCUAACUACGUGCCAGCAGCCGCGGUAAUACGUAGGUGGCAAGCGUUAUCCGGAAUUAUUGGGCGUAAAGCGCGCGUAGGCGGUUUUUUAAGUCUGAUGUGAAAGCCCACGGCUCAACCGUGGAGGGUCAUUGGAAACUGGAAAACUUGAGUGCAGAAGAGGAAAGUGGAAUUCCAUGUGUAGCGGUGAAAUGCGCAGAGAUAUGGAGGAACACCAGUGGCGAAGGCGACUUUCUGGUCUGUAACUGACGCUGAUGUGCGAAAGCGUGGGGAUCAAACAGGAUUAG
rnacentral:rRNA from 1 species